rnacentral:rRNA from 1 species
CAGCCGCCGCGGUAAUGCGAAGGGGGCUAGCGUUGUUCGGAAUCACUGGGCGUAAAGAGCACGUAGGCGGAUCUUUAAGUCAGAGGUGAAAUCCCGAGGCUCAACCUCGGAACUGCCUUUGAUACUGGGGAUCUCGAGUCCGGGAGAGGUGAGUGGAACUGCGAGUGUAGAGGUGAAAUUCGUAGAUAUUCGCAAGAACACCAGUGGCGAAGGCGGCUCACUGGCCCGGAACUGACGCUGAGGUGCGAAAGCGUGGGGAGCAAACAGGAUUAGAUACCCCCGUAGUCCCUGUCUCUUAUAC